AUUUUUUGCAAAAGGGGGAAAUAUUGUACUACAACCGCGGGCGGGGGGAAAAGACCCCCCGGGGGUGAAAACCUUUUUAUCGUGGGGAAAAUAUUUCCGUUUAAAAGACGGGAAAAUUGACGGUACCGCAGAAGAAAGCCCCGGCUAAAUCUGUGCCACCAGCCGCGGUAAUACGGAGGGGGCAAGCGUUUUUCGGAAUUUUUGGGGGUAAAAGGGCGCGUGAGGCGGUUUUUUAAUUCUGAGGUGAAAUCCCCCGGUUCAACCCGGGAAAGUGCGUUGGAAACUGCGGAGACUUGAGUGUGGGAGAGGGGAGGGGAAUUCCCGGGGUAGCGAGUGAAAUGGGUAGAUAUAUGGAGAAACACCAGUGGGGAAGGGGGCUCUCUGGGCCGAAACUGACGCUGAGAGGCGAAAGAGUGGGGGGCAAACAGGAUUAGAUACCCCGGUAGUCCUCCCCCUAAACGAUGAGUACUAGGUGUUGGGGGGGUUCACCCCUUCAGUGCCGCAGCUAACGCAUUAAGUACUCCGCUG
rnacentral:rRNA from 1 species